rnacentral:lncRNA from 1 species
UUGAUGUUUCUCAAGCAUUGGAUGCCCUGACUGGAAUUGAUGAUUCAACUCAGGUAGCAAUUAAUAGUGUAUUUCAUGUACUUGAAGAUAUGAUUACUCAGUUGGAAGGGGAAAGAAACCUGGAAAGUGAAAUCAAGAAUGGGGACGAAAAUGGACUUAAGGACAGAGGCAAGGUUCUUGAUCAAAAUACUAGCUCCAUCUCAAACAAUCACCCACGGAAAGUGAAAUCAUGAAUGAAGACGAUAAAGAUGGACUUGAGAAAAGUGAAAUCAAGAAUUGGGACGAUGAAAAUGGACUUAAGGACAGAGACAAGGUUCUUGAUCAAAAUACUAGCUCCA